CGUAGGUGACAAGCGUUGUCCGGAUUUACUGGGCGUAAAGAGCGCGCAGGCGGUCGUGCAAGUCGAGUGUGAAAGCCCCCGGCUCAACUGGGGAGGGUCACUCGAUACUGUUCGACUCGAAGGCAGGAGAGGGAAGCGGAAUUCCCGGUGUAGUGGUGAAAUGCGUAGAUAUCAGGAGGAACACCAGUGGCGAAGGCGGCUUCCUGGCCUGUUCUUGACGCUGAGGCGCGAAAGCUAGGGGAGCAAACGGGAUUAGAUACCCCGGUAGUCCUAGCUGUAAACGAUGGACACUAGGUGUUGGCGGUAUCAACCCCGCCAGUGCCGAAGCUAACGCAUUAAGUGUCCCGCCUGGGGAGUACGGCCGCAAGGCUA
rnacentral:rRNA from 1 species